rnacentral:rRNA from 1 species
CGGAACGAGUUAUCUGAACCUUCGGGGAACGAUAACGGCGUCGAGCGGCGGACGGGUGAGUAAUGCCUAGGAAAUUGCCCUGAUGUGGGGGAUAACCAUUGGAAACGAUGGCUAAUACCGCAUAAUGCCUACGGGCCAAAGAGGGGGACCUUCGGGCCUCUCGCGUCAGGAUAUGCCUAGGUGGGAUUAGCUAGUUGGUGAGGUAAGGGCUCACCAAGGCGACGAUCCCUAGCUGGUCUGAGAGGAUGAUCAGCCACACUGGAACUGAGACACGGUCCAGACUCCUACGGGAGGCAGCAGUGGGGAAUAUUGCACAAUGGGCGCAAGCCUGAUGCAGCCAUGCCGCGUGUGUGAAGAAGGCCUUCGGGUUGUAAAGCACUUUCAGUCGUGAGGAAGGUAGUGCAGUUAAUAGCUGCAUUAUUUGACGUUAGCGACAGAAGAAGCACCGGCUAACUCCGUGCCAGCAGCCGCGGUAAUACGGAGGGUGCGAGCGUUAAUCGGAAUUACUGGGCGUAAAGCGCAUGCAGGUGGUUUGUUAAGUCAGAUGUGAAAGCCCGGGGCUCAACCUCGGAAUUGCAUUUGAAACUGGCAGACUAGAGUACUGUAGAGGGGGGUAGAAUUUCAGGUGUAGCGGUGAAAUGCGUAGAGAUCUGAAAGGAAUACCGGGUGGCGAAAGGCGGGCCCCC